GCCAUCUGGGGCUGCCCGGGACGCUGCAGGCAGAAGACGGCCUGCGUCCCUGAAGUUUGAUCAUUUCCAAGGCCAGUAACUACAAUGGUUCUCCCACACCUGGAAGCUAAUGAGUAAUGAGCACUAUUAAGGCUUAUUUCAAAUGUAGAAAACCUUGAGAUAAUGCACUAAAUUGUUCAGAAGGUUGUUUUCUUAGCACCUGCUGGAAUACUACAGGAUUUUCUUUAACAUCAUUGCCGGAGUUCCUGCCUUCAUCCCAGUGCCGGUGAAAACGAGGGUGGAAGAAUUUCCAGUGUUGCUGAAAACCGGACGAGACUUCGGAUCAAGCUAGCUGCCUGCAGAACUUACCUGGACUGUGAUUUAAGCUAGCUGCCUGCAGAACUUACCUGGACUGUGAUUUACCUGGACUGUGAGUUAAUCUAUUGAGACACUGCUUUACCUGGACUGAGACAAACUGUAAUCUACAACAAAUUGUAACUCGGUAUCUUUGCUAACAGCGUUAUUGCUUGUAUAAUUUUUCCAAGGACUUCUUGCAUGGAGCCAUUAAUUGGCUUGGUAUCCUCCCUUUCUUUUUGUAGCAGGUUAUUUAUGGUGUUUCUGUAAAAACCACUAUGGUCCUUAUUUAAAUUAAACAAAAAGGGGAAAUGUUAGAGUCUGUAAACAAGUCAAAAAUAACACCUGGCAUUUUGCCAGGGGAAUGUUAGCGUUCAUAAACAAGUCUGGAUGGUGCCUGGCAAAAUGCCAGAGGGAGUGGUUUGAGAAGUAACAAAAGCGAGCCAUUAAGUGUGGAGAUUCCUUAUUGGUUGACUGAUGUAUCUAGUUUAUGCUAAUUAGAUAAGCUGUGUAGAAUGUAUAAAUACUGCUCCUGUCCUGCAAUAAACGGCUCCUACUCCUGCUGUAUCAAUGCACACAAGUUGUCCGUCACCCCCCGGUUAUUUUGCUGCAGCCGGACUGCGGCACAUUUUUACAUUAUAAAAUUAC
rnacentral:lncRNA from 1 species